GCGGGUGUAGUUUAGUGGUAAAACUACAGCCUUCCAAACUGUUGUCGCGAGUUCGAUUCUCGUCACCCGCU
rnacentral:tRNA from 1 species